rnacentral:rRNA from 1 species
CGCUAGCUACAGGCUUAACACAUGCAAGUCGAGGGGCAGCAUGGUCUAGCUUGCUAAGAUGAUGGCGACCGGCGCACGGGUGAGUAACGCGUAUCCAACCUUCCCUAUAGUAGGGGGAUAGCCCGUAGAAAUGCGGAUUAAUACCCUAUGUUGUAUUUCGAUGACAUCUGACGAAUACCAAAGGUUCACCGCUAUAGGAUGGGGAUGCGUCUGAUUAGGUAGUCGGCGGGGUAACGGCCCACCGAGCCAACGAUCAGUAGGGGUUCUGAGAGGAAGGUCCCCCACAUUGGAACUGAGACACGGUCCAAACUCCUACGGGAGGCAGCAGUGAGGAAUAUUGGUCAAUGGGCGAGAGCCUGAACCAGCCAAGUAGCGUGCAGGAUGACGGCCCUAUGGGUUGUAAACUGCUUUUAUGCGGGGAUAAAGUGAGGGACGUGUCCCUUAUUGUAGGUACCGCAUGAAUAAGGACCGGCUAAUUCCGUGCCAGCAGCGGC